GCGCCCUUUACUUGUUAGAUCUUGAAGCUGCUGAGUACUCAACAACCGAGGAAAUCUUUUCUCCCAGUACAUGCAAUUCACAAUAAUAGAUGCAUAUGGGGCUAUUUUUUCAUGGAAGACAGGUUUGUAGUGUUCUGGAUGUGCAUAAUAGUCAGCUCUAUCAAAUGUUUUGGAAGGAUCUAUGUGUUUGACCAUGUCUUGACUAGUCACAACACAACCAUAUACUUGGUAUACUCUCUUUAAUGUUCUUGAAGGUGGACUGUGAUCCUUGGCUUGCGCAAAUAGUUCCGGAAGUCUGCUUGGAUCAACAAAAGUAUGAGGCAGAAGCUUAAAAAUCUCUUGUGCGCCUUGUGAAAC
rnacentral:misc_RNA from 1 species